rnacentral:rRNA from 1 species
GACAAACGCUGGCGGCAUGCCUAACACAUGCAAGUCGAACGGACAGAACAGGGAAGCUUUUCGGAGUGGAACUGGAAAGUUAGUGGCGGAUGGGUGAGUAACGCGUGAACAACCUACCUUGUAAAGGGGAAUAACCUCGAGAAAUCGAAGCUAAUACCCCAUAAUAACCUUGCUUCGCAUGAAGUAAGGAGGAAAGGCGGCCUUAGCGCUGUCGAUACAAGAUGGGUCCGCGUCUGAUUAGCUAGUUGGUGAGGUAAAGGCUCACCAAGGCGACGAUCAGUAGCCGGCCUGAGAGGGUGAACGGCCACAUUGGGACUGAGACACGGCCCAAACUCCUACGGGAGGCAGCAGUGGGGAAUCUUCCGCAAUGGGCGAAAGCCUGACGGAGCAAUGCCGCGUGAGUGAAGAAGGCCUUCGGGUUGUAAAACUCUGUCCUUAUCGAAGAGAGAGUGUUGUAGUAACUGACAAUACUAGGACGGUAGAUGAGGAGGAAGCCCCGGCUAACUAUGUG